GGCAGUGGUAGCUCAGUGGUUAAGACGUUGGACUACUGAUCGGAAGGUCACGUGUUCAGCUCCCAGCACUGCCA